UACGUAGGGCCCAAGCGUUGUUCGGAUUUACUGGGCGUAAAGGGCGCGUAGGCGGCAAUUCAAGUCAGCUGUGAAAUCUCCGGGCUUAACUCGGAACGGUCAGCUGAUACUGCUUUGCUAGAGUGCAGAAGGGGCAAUCGGAAUUCUUGGUGUAGCGGUGAAAUGCGUAGAUAUCAAGAGGAACACCUGAGGUGAAGACGGGUUGCUGGGCUGACACUGACGCUGAGGCGCGAAAGCUAGGGUAGCAAACGGG
rnacentral:rRNA from 1 species